rnacentral:rRNA from 1 species
UCGGGAAUUUUGGGCAAUGGGGGCAACCCUGAUCCAGCCAUUCCGCGUGGAUGAUGACGGUCCUAUGGAUUGUAAACUGCUUUUGUACAGGAAGAAACAGUUCUACGUGUAGAACCUUGACGGUACUGUAAGAAUAAGGAUCGGCUAACUCCGUGCCAGCAGCCGCGGUAAUACGGAGGAUCCAAGCGUUAUCCGGAAUCAUUGGGUUUAAAGGGUCCGUAGGCGGUUAGAUAAGUCAGUGGUGAAAGCCCAUCGCUCAACGGUGGAACGGCCAUUGAUACUGUCUGACUUGAAUUAUUAGGAAGUAACUAGAAUAUGUAGUGUAGCGGUGAAAUGCUUAGAGAUUACAUGGAAUACCAAUUGCGAAGGCAGGUUACUACUAAUGGAUUGACGCUGAUGGACGAAAGCGUGGGUAGCGAACAGGAUUAGAUACCCCCGUAGUCCCUGAGCGGGCUGGCAAGGCGCAU